GCAGGCUGCAACCCGCCUGUAUGAAGUUGGAAUCGCUAGUAAUCGCGGAUCAGCAUGCCGCGGUGAAUACGUUCCCGGGCCUUGUACACACCGCCCGUCACACCAUGAGAGUCGGGAACACCCGAAGUCCGUAGUCUAACUUUCACGAGAGGACGCGGCCGAAGGUGGGUUCGAUAAUUGGGGUGAAGUCGUAACAAGGUAAC
rnacentral:rRNA from 1 species